rnacentral:rRNA from 1 species
GACGGAGGAUGCAAGUGUUAUCCGGAAUCACUGGGCGUAAAGCGUCUGUAGGUGGUUAAGCAAGUCAACUGUUAAAUCUUGAGGCUCAACUUCAAAAUCGCAGUCGAAACUGUUUGACUAGAGUAUAGUAGGGGUAAAGGGAAUUUCCAGUGGAGCGGUGAAAUGCGUAGAUAUUGGAAAGAACACCGAUGGCGAAGGCACUUUACUGGGCUAUUACUGACACUCAGAGACGAAAGCUAGGGUAGCAAAUGGG